UUGAACGCUGGCGGCAUGCCUUACACAUGCAAGUCGAACGGUAGAGUAGCAAUACUUGAGAGUGGCGAACGGGUGAGUAAUAUAUCGGAACGUGCCCAGUCGUGGGGGAUAACGUAGCGAAAGUUACGCUAAUACCGCAUACGAUCUAAGGAUGAAAGCGGGGGAUUCGCAAGAACCUCGCGCGAUUGGAGCGGCUGAUAUCAGAUUAGGUUGUUGGUGAGGUAAAAGCUCACCAAGCCGACGAUCUGUAGCUGGUUUGAGAGAACGACCAGCCACACUGGGACUGAGACACGGCCCAGACUCCUACGGGAGGCAGCAGUGGGGGAAUUUUGGACAAUGGGCGCAAGCCUGAUCCAGCAAUGCCGCGUGCAGGAUGAAGGCCUUCGGGUUGUAAACUGCUUUUGUACGGAACGAAACGGUGAGCUCUAAUACAGUUCGCUAAUGACGGUACCGUAAGAAUAAGCACCGGCUAACUCUGUG
rnacentral:rRNA from 1 species